rnacentral:lncRNA from 1 species
UUUCUCUGUAUAGCUCUGGCUGUCCUGGAACUCACUUUGUAGACCAGGCUGGCCUCAAACUCAGAGAUCCGGCCUGCCUCUGCCUCCCAAGUGCUGGGAUUAAAGGUGUGUGCCACCACCGCCUGGCUGGAAGAUUAUUUUAAUGUGGUCUGCAGUGAUGAUAGAGGAGGCCUUGAGAAAGACAGGAACGUCUUUGUAGGAGAACAGACUUUGCUUCUUCUGUCUUCAAAGGAGAUGAGCUAGAGCCUUCAGAGGUCUGAGGAAAGCUGUGGGCCUUACCACACACUACCCUUCCCUCAGGGCUCCGUCUGCUGCCCUAGAGCUAGCUCUCUUCCUUUCUCCGGGUUUAAAACUGUCCUUGGAAUCAGGCCUCUCAAGCCUCAAAAUAUAGACUGGUUUCUCACUAGGACAUUGACUGAUAGGCUAUGACUGAAAGCCUGUCCCCACACUAAAGAAUUGGUUUCCACUGGGCCGGAGAGCACUGGUUAAGAGCACUGACUGCUCUUCUGAAGGUCCUGAGUUAAAAUCCCAGCAACCACAAGGUAGCUCACAGCCAUCCGUCAUGAGAUCUGGGAUGUCUGAAGACAGCUACAGUGUACUUACUUAUAAAUAAAUAAAUGGUUAAAAAAAAAAAGAAUUGGCUUAUCAGAACUGUGGAAUUUCCAGCUAGGUUUCUUCUCCAGUGAGAGCCUAGAUUUUUGGAAGUCCUCAGGCCAAGCAAAAAUUUACUUUGCUUUAGCUUUGUACUUCAGGAUGCUGAAAAGAGAAGGAAGUUCAAAUCCUGUACAAGGCCUCAGUGGUUUUGAAGAGGCCUUGAGUCCAUUUUUUAGUACCCCUCUACACUCCUCCCACCCAGUUGCUAGCCCAACAGGAUUUGAGAAGCUGGUGUGACAAAUACCUAUAUUGGCAUUUGGAAGGUAGAGGCAAGAGUGUUAGGAGUUCAAGGCUCACCUUGACUUGAAAUGCUUUCUCCAGCCAAACAUACAUGAAUUUACCUUUGCUCUUGGGGCUUAGACUUGAUGGUUCUGAAUGAAGAUAGAGUUUGUAUCAGAUACACUAGCUGGGAAUGUGCUGCCCGUUGUUGGGAUCUGCGGCAAGUGUUCUGGCCUCUUCCCCCCCAAAUUGAAACGAAGACCUCACAUGGAUUUGUACUAGAAGUAAGGUUUGGAGCAAAACAGUAGUGUAGCUUAUGGCAGGAAACACUAUCAGAGAUUGACUGCAGGCUGAGUGAGUGGGGGUACGUAAGGACCCAAAGCUAUGUAGCCUAGCUUCUCAAGGUGUCUAAAGAAAGGAAGGGUAGAUUACCAAUGAGCAGAGUUUGGGCUUCUCUAUUUUUAAAGUUUUAAAAUGUUUAUAUCAAGGCAAGGUUUCUGUUGUCCUUGCUGGUCUGGAACUAGAUUGGCCUUGACCUAAGAGAUGAUGCGACUUCUGCCUCCCAAGUGCUAAUUAAAGGUGUGAGUCACCACGCUUGCCUUGGUGUUUUCUAUUUAUAGGUUAUAUAUUCAUUUUUCCUAUUGCAUGUCACUUCCCAAAUUACAUCUCAUCUAGUCAUCUGUGCACCCAAUCACAAAUAGGCAUAACCUGGUAGAUUUCCACUAAAAGUUACUUAGAGGAAGUUUGUGAAUUUAUUAUUACAGGCAAGCCAUGGAAAUGUGUGUAGCUGUUGCAGUUGGUUUGAGGAGGUGUAAGUGCAUGGUGUAUUUGGUAGAGAGACUAGGCUGCCUAGUUCAUUAUGAGAAGAUAUGUACAACACAAACGAAGUAGGGUCUCAGGUUCAACUGUUAAGCUUUCUUGCCUCAGGCUGCUGGAGAGUUGCACUCGUACUUAUUCACUCAAUUCAUUCUUUGGCCAGGUGGGUGGUGGUGGUGGUGGUUCACACCUUUAGUCAUAGUGUUGAGGAGGCAGAGGCAAGAGGUUCUGUGUUUGAGGCCAGCUGGGUCUAUAGAUUGAAUUCUAGGAAAGCCAGGGCUGCAUAGAGAAACCUGUUUUC